rnacentral:rRNA from 1 species
GACAGAGGGGGCAAGCGUUGCUCGGAAUUACUGGGCGUAAAGGGCGCGUAGGCGGGAUGGCAAGUCGGUCGUGAAAUCCCUCGGCUCAACCGAGGAACGUCGAUCGAUACUGCUGUUCUUGAGGAUUGCAGAGGAGACUGGAAUUCCCGGUGUAGCGGUGAAAUGUGUAGAGAUCGGGAAGAACAUCAGUGGCGAAGGCGGCCUGCUGGGCUGUUGCUGACGCUGAGGCGCGACAGCGUGGGGAGCAAACAGG